CCUACGGGCGGCAGCAGUGGGGAAUAUUGGACAAUGGGGGGAACCCUGAUCCAGCCAUGCCGCGUGUGUGAAGAAGGCCCUCGGGUUGUAAAGCACUUUCAGUGAGGAAGAACGCCUGGUGGUUAAUACCCAUCAGGAAAGACAUCACUCACAGAAGAAGCAUCGGCUAACUCCGUGCCAGCAGCCGCGGUAAUACGGAGGGUGCGAGCGUUAAUCGGAAUUACUGGGCGUAAAGCGCGCGUAGGUGGCUUGAUAAGCCGGUUGUGAAAGCCCCGGGCUCAACCUGGGAACGGCAUCCGGAACUGUCAAGCUAGAGUGCAGGAGAGGAAGGUAGAAUUCCCGGUGUAGCGGUGAAAUGCGUAGAGAUCGGGAGGAAUACCAGUGGCGAAGGCGGCCUUCUGGACUGACACUGACACUGAGGUGCGAAAGCGUGGGUAGCAAACAGGAUUAGAUACCCGAGUAGUC
rnacentral:rRNA from 1 species